rnacentral:misc_RNA from 1 species
UUCAUAUGUUCAUAUGUAUAUGUGUAGGAAAAGCUAACUUAACCAAAUAUAAUCAGAUUUAAGUCAUACUGUUUGAACUUUAAGAGUUUGUGAUAAAACAAAAUGAGUGACGAAAAGAGUGGAGAGGAGCAUCGAGCCAAGCUCAAGAAGCAAAAGAAACAUAAGAAACACAAAAAGUCCACAUCCAGCAAGAGUGACAAAGAGAAACAUGUCCACAAAAGGCACAAAAAGUCAAAGAAGCGUCACCACCACCAUAGCGAGUCUUCCCAUGACUCCGACGGUACAGAACAUCCAAGCGCCAAACAACAGAAAAGCUAUGGACUUAGCGAGAAGUUUUCUGAAAUCAUGCAGAAGGCAAGCCGCAAUGGCGCCGAAUUGUGCAUCUCUAGCUCGAAAUUGCAAACAGACCCGUGUAGUCUCGUGGAGGAAAUUACAAAAACCAUACAGAACAAGGUUCUCCCAGUUUUGGAGGUGGCCAGUUCGAGCAGCGAGAGUGAUGUCCCCAUGGAUGUUGCUAGUCCGAUUAUUGCUGCCAUGAUCGAAGAUGAGUUGAAUUUAGAGGACCUGAUGAAGCAGAAGGCAUUGCUACAGGCUCGCCUGGGCGCGUACAUGUCGGACCCGGACGCUGAUGAAAGAAGUGAACCCAACUCACGAGCACAAUCGGUGCAGUCCAAGCAAAUAGCCAGCAAGGGCCAAUCGCAGCCCUUAUUCCAACCGCAGGCUACUGCAACUAGUAAAAAUGUUAAUAAUAAACAGUCUAGCAUCCAUAACUCAAAUGAAUCCGAUGUUAUAUUAUUGGAUGAUUCUAGCGGAGGCCAGCGCACGCCCUCGCCUACGCCAGAGAAGCGAAGACGACAAGCACCAGCAUCCCCAGCAGCGCCUAGAAGUCGAGUACGCGGCGAUACGGUUCUUGGAAGGCGUGAGCGACGCUCUAGAGACCGGGAUCAGGCGCGUAGCCGCACUCCCCCUCGCCGGCGUAUGGAGGAACAAAUUCGGCCCCGCAGUCAAAGCUCCCAACGACGGAAUCAUCAGCAGAACAAUCGUAACAUGGAAGACUUACGCCAGGAGAUCAAUCGCGAUAAACAGCGAGAAAGGCAUGAGCAUAGCCGGGAUCGGGAGCGCCGUGGACCAGGAUCUGGCACAGACAGGCCACAAGCCACAGCCGAACAACGUGCUGGUCGUCCACGGGAGAGAGACAGUCGCUUCAAUCGCCAGCGGUCUCACAGUCGCAGUAAGUUUGAGUCGGACAGGCGCCGUGAACGUGAGCGCUUCCAAGAUCGGGAUCGCGGUGGCUUUGGUGGUAAUAAUCGUGGUGGAGCACGGGGCGGCGCGGACAACGACCGAGAUCGUUACAAAGGCUCACUGAGCGAAGGCCAGAAGAUUCACGACAAGGAGAGCAGUGACGAUGAGGUUAAUCUGGACAUUGACAUCAACGAGGAUGACGAUGAUGAGGAACGUAUCAUUGAGCAGCGUCGGAAGAAGCGCGAAGAGCUUCUCAAGAAACUAGGAACAGGGCAGGAAUCGCCCACGCCUCAAAAUUCCAACUCCUAUGAGUCUCGUAGCACUUCAGCGGGCUCGUCGCAACGGGAUCGCCAACCAAGAACUCCCACACCCACGCUCAAUGACUUGGAUCACCCCAAGGAGCAGCAGCAGUUGGACAAUUCCAACAGCCAAAAGAAUAGUUCAGGAAAAGAGAAACGCAAUGAGUGGGACAUGUUUGCUGAUCAGGAUGUUGAUUCCAAUUUCGAUUCGCCCAGUACAAUUAUUCACAACAAGCAUCAGCAUGAGAAUCCUGCCCUUACUGACAACUGGGAUGACGCGGAGGGAUAUUAUCGUGUGCGCAUUGGUGAGGUUCUAGACAAUCGCUACUUGGUCAGUGGCUAUACGGGUCAAGGUGUGUUCAGUAAUGUGGUGCGUGGCCGUGAUCAGGCUCGGGGACAGGCCAAUGUGGCAAUCAAGAUCAUUCGCAACAACGAAAUAAUGCACAAAACCGGGCUGCGAGAGCUUGAAAUCCUUAAGAAACUGAACGACGCUGAUCCCGAAGAUCGUUUCCACUGCCUGCGCUUGAAUCGCCAUUUCUUCCACAAACAGCAUCUCUGCAUGGUGUUCGAGCCACUGGCCAUGAAUUUGCGUGAGGUGUUAAAGAAAUACGGCAAGAAUGUCGGGUUGCACAUCAAAGCUGUGCGCAGCUACACUCAGCAACUGUUUUUAGCCCUCAAGCUGCUGAAAAAGACGGGUAUCCUGCAUGCGGACAUCAAGCCGGAUAAUAUUUUAGUCAACGAGAAUAAUUUGAUACUGAAGCUGUGCGACUUUGGGUCUGCUUCGGCAAUAAGUGACAAUGAAAUUACUCCGUACUUGGUGUCGCGGUUCUAUCGAUCGCCAGAGAUCAUUUUGGGAAUACCAUAUGACUAUGGAAUUGACACUUGGUCUGCUGGUUGCACCAUCUACGAGUUAUACACGGGAAAGAUUUUGUUCAGCGGAAAGAGUAAUAAUCAGAUGCUAAAGUUUUUCAUGGACGUGAAGGGCAAGAUACCGAAUCGUAUUGUGAGAAAGGGUCAAUUCAGAGAGCAGCACUUUGAUCAGAACUGCAAUUUCCUCUAUCACGAGAUAGACAAGCUCACGGAAAGGGAGAAGAUUGUUGUGAUGCCAGUUGUAAAGCCAUCGCGUAGCCUGCAGCAGGAACUGAUUGCUGAUCAAAAUCUGCCCGAUGAUCAGCAUCGCAAGGUCACUCAGCUCAAGGAUCUGCUAGAGAACAUGUUUGCCCUGGAUCCAGCGAAGCGGAUCUCCCUCAAUCAAUCACUAAUGCAUCCCUUUAUUCAGGAGAAAAUGUAGAGAUGAACAGCGACAUCGAAUAAACUGUGGUGUGCCGCUGAUAACGGAAGAGCGCUCCUUGGCCGUGUGGCUGACUCAACUGUUGGGU